rnacentral:rRNA from 1 species
UGCGGCAUGGAUUAGGCAUGCAAGUCGAACGAAGCAGCAAUGCUUAGUGGCGCAAGGGUGAGGAACACGUGAGUGACCUACCCGCAAGUUUGGAACAGCUCCUGGAAACGGGAAUUAAUACCGGAUGUGAUCGAUGAACUGCAUGGUUUAUUGAUUAAAGCAGCAAUGCGCUUGCGGAUGGGCUCGCGUCCCAUUAGCUAGUUGGUGAGGUAACGGCCCACCAAGGCCAUGAUGGGUAGCUGGUCUGAGAGGACGACCAGCCACACUGGGACUGAGAACUGCCCAGACUCCUACGGGAGGCUGCAGUCGAGAAUUUUGGGCAAUGGACGAAAGUCUGAACCCCCAGCAAUGCCGCGUGCGGGAUGAAGGUCUUCGGAUUGUAAACCGCUGUUUGGAGGGACGAAAAUUGACGGCACUUCCAGAGGAAGCCACGGCUAACUACGUGCCAGCCGCCGC